UUAGAAUUGGUGCUUAGGCUUCUAACUUGAGCGAGGGGAUAAAUAUCUCCAUUCUAUU
rnacentral:tRNA from 1 species